rnacentral:rRNA from 1 species
AUUGAACGCUGGCGGCAUGCCUUACACAUGCAAGUCGAACGGUAACAGGUCUUCGGAUGCUGACGAGUGGCGAACGGGUGAGUAAUACAUCGGAACGUGCCUAGUAGUGGGGGAUAACUACUCGAAAGAGUGGCUAAUACCGCAUGAGAUCUACGGAUGAAAGCAGGGGAUCGCAAGACCUUGUGCUACUAGAGCGGCCGAUGGCAGAUUAGGUAGUUGGUGGGAUAAAAGCUUACCAAGCCGACGAUCUGUAGCUGGUCUGAGAGGACGAUCAGCCACAUGGGGACUGAGACACGGCCGAGACUCCUACGGGAGGCAGCAGUGGGGAAUUUUGGACAAUGGGCGCAAGCCUGAUCCAGCAAUGCCGCGUGCAGGAUGAAGGCCUUCGGGUUGUAAACUGCUUUUGUACGGAACGAAAAGCCCUGGGUUAAUACCCUGGGGUCAUGACGGUACCGUAAGAAUAAGCACCGGCUAACUACAUGCCAGCCGCCGCCGUAAGAC